rnacentral:tRNA from 1 species
AAAAAUUUAGUUAAAAAAUAACAUCAAUUUGUCAAAUUGAAGUCAAUAUUUAUUAUUAAUUUUUA